AGGUCGCCAGGGCCCCGCCUGCCCCACGCCCGCCAGGCCAGCUCUGCGUUCUCACGCCGCGGGACACGCGACGCGAGUCCCCCGGGCAGGGCCCCCACUCACGGCUCCCGAUACCCCAAGGACUGAACAACUGGCCUAAGGAAGGCCUGAUUCCCUUCCAGAUGUCCCCCAAGGACUUAAGCAUUCGGGAAACCACACUGCUCCCUAAUGAAGCCCAGCAACCACUCCUGUCCACAGCUGUGAGUGAGGCUGUGAGUGUAGUUCGGGUUGGGUCCUGAACCCAGGAGGGGCUGAGAGUCCUUGGGAUCUGCAAUAAUCGUCUCAGGCCAGUGUGGGAUGUUGAUCUUGGAAAGAGCUUCUCCAGCCUUAAUCUCUGAGUCAGCGCUCCCCUAAGAUCUGCUUCACUAAAAGACCAAUAUGCUUUCUCUUCAGAGCUCUCCAGGAAAAGGAGAAUUGGGCACAAUGACUAGCAUAAACAAGAACCCAGUGGGGCGUAUUGUCUGGAGGAUCUUGAAGCUAAUGGAUGGCAAUGGGAAGAACUGGCUUUAACUCACCAGUACCAAGCCAUCAUUCUGGCAGACCCUUGGGACAAGUUUGUCCAUCUGGGGAGGGAAUCUCAGAACUAAAGCCACACUGGUUUUCGGGCGAGAAGGCUAAAGAAUCGAGUUUGGGAAGGGGUAUGACGUAGUACAAUUCUGGAGAGCUUGACAUCAGGAGUCAUUACAGGAUGGUGUAAGAGUAAUGUGGCUGAGACAGCAGUGUCUCUCUUGGGUAUAUAGAAAUGAAAAUCUAUAUUCACAGAAAACCAAAAGAGGGAAACAGCUGAUGAGCGGAUAAAACAUGGUGUAUCCACACAAUGGUUUACAACUCAGCAAUGAAAAGAAAGGAAGUAUCAGUACAUGCUAUAACAUGGAUGAACGUUGGAAACAAGCUAAGUGAGAAAAGCUAAACGCAAAGGACCACAUGCUGUAUGAUUCCAUUUAUAUGUAACAUUAAGAA